rnacentral:rRNA from 1 species
CCACGGGUGGCAGCAGUGGGGAAUAUUGGACAAUGGGCGAAAGCCUGAUCCAGCCAUGCCGCGUGUGUGAAGAAGGCCUUCGGGUUGUAAAGCACUUUCAGUGGGGAAGAAAGCCUUGGGGCUAAUACCCUCGAGGAAGGACAUCACCCACAGAAGAAGCACCGGCUAACUCCGUGCCAGCAGCCGCGGUAAUACGGAGGGUGCGAGCGUUAAUCGGAAUUACUGGGCGUAAAGCGCGCGUAGGCGGUCUGAUAAGCCGGUUGUGAAAGCCCCGGGCUCAACCUGGGAACGGCAUCCGGAACUGUCAGGCUAGAGUGCAGGAGAGGAAGGUAGAAUUCCCGGUGCAGCGGUGAAAUGCGUAGAGAUCGGGAGGAAUACCAGUGGCGAAGGCGGCCUUCUGGACUGACACUGACGCUGAGGUGCGAAAGCGUGGGUAGCAAACAGGAUUAGAUACCCCGGUAGUC